AGCAGAAAAUAGAAUAGAGGGGGAAGUGCGGAAACCCUAGUGGUAGUGGAGUUGGGUGAGUAUGGGAAUAGCAGGUAGGGUUGGGGAUUAUGCUUUCAAGGCAUUCAUCGCCACCCUCGAAAUUCGACAAACAGGAUACUGAUGAGCAAGCACCAUGACUUGAUCUCGUAAGCCCACCAUCUUAAACAAAUCAUGUUGUGUAGAAAUAUAAUGUGAGUUUCUUUCCUACAAUUUUUCACUUGAUUGGCCAAUAAUUGAAUGGCAAAUCAUGAGUAAUAACUUACUUAAUUAACAUAAGUAGAUAGUGGUUUUUGAUACAUUGUACUUAUACAUUAUUAUUUGUUUACGUGUUAUAAUUUGUACUUCAUGGAA